rnacentral:lncRNA from 1 species
AUAUCAAUAAAUGAAAUGACACAAUACAGUUGGCUUGCCGUUGCAAUUAGCAAAGCCUCUUUGUUUGUUAUUAUUUUUUGGCUUAUUGCAAUAAAGACUAAAGAGAGCUUUGAGCCAUGCAGCAUGGGAAGCUCCAUUAAAAAAUAAAAGAAUUUAAAGCUUAAUUUGCCCCCGUCAAUUUUUCAAAGAGAAGGUCCAACUCAAUUGUGACGGCUGCUGCUUCAAUUUUAAUUUUAUUUUUCUCAAGAAUAGUCAUUUUCAUCCACCAUAUUCCUGCAUCCUGAUGCGUCCUUAUUGCUUAUAUUAUUAUAGACCACUUUUGGAAGCAUAACAAUUUUUGCACACAUGGUCUCCAUCUUGCGGACCCAAAUGUUGAUGAUGAUAUACUUGCAUGCUACAAAAUAAGCCCUUUUAAUAACUUAUCAUCUGGUAAAUGAUGGUUUAUUUAUUUAUUACAUAACAAAUAUGUUAUGCCAUAUGCCACCUAUUAGUGAAAGAUGUUUAAAUAACUACUCUUGUAGUAAACUCCUGAAUGAUGGCAAGUUAGAUUUAGACUUAAUGCACUAACUUCGAUAUUAUUUUUUUUUUUAACAUGGUAAUUAUUUUCUUCUCGCUAGGAAGUUGCAAUGAUUGAUAAUAAGGGAGCAUUUUGCUUUAAUACAAUCCUUAGUAGAAGAUUUUCUAGAGAUGUUUAUUAUUAUCAUUAUUAAUCCCGCGUUGGUCAGGAUUUGAUUACUAUAAUAUUGACGAUUCGAUUUCUAACAAUUUUGUUUAUUAUAAAAUUAAAACAAAUGAGUAGUCAUCUAGAAAAUCAUAAUCUCUUUAAAGGCAUCAAAAGGCAAUGGCAAUGUAAAGUGAAUGUGAAUCUACUAGUAACAUGUUUACACGUGUAUUAAUCUUAAAAUAUUUAAAUACAUAAACCCAAGAUUCUUGGUUCCAAUAUGAGCUUUAUAGUUAAGGAGACCCACUUCGUAUGAUGGACUUGUGAGUUGUGAGAGAAAUCUCUAGAAUUUAAUUAUGCCGAAAGAAUCUUAAUCAAAUCGUAUCAUCAUAAAAAAAAAAUUCCAAAUUUUGUUUUCUUCUUUUGACAAAAACCCUCGUUCAAAAUGAUUCAUAUAAAUUUAUCAAUAAAAGAUUUUGAAUCAAUUAGAAAAUGGAAUUGUCAUGCGCACAUCUUUUGCUCGUUCAGUCCUUAAUCAUGUUUUAAUUAUAACCCAAACACGACAAUGACAUGUACGAUCUACAUAAAUCCUCGAUAUUAAUUGUCAAUUGGUUCUGCGAAUUCAAUGUGCAAAGUCAUAAUAAAUUUAGGAAUGAAAAGUACGAGCGGGUAGCAAGAAACCGUCACUCAAUUCCAAUUGAUAGGUACACUUCAUUCAUUUUGUCUUUUACAUAAAUGGAAAAACUAAAAAGCGUAACAAUUAUUAAACACAUGCCCACUGCCCUGCCACAGUGUGCCACUCGGCCAAAGAGGGGCCGUUGCUCUCUUACAUUGGUUCAACGAAGGGAUUCAUUGAAGGGUGCUUCGACGACGGGAGCGGUGUUAAGAUGAGUGAUCGCUUAGAAAAUCUUUGAAUUACACUCAUCUUUUUAAAUCAACGAGUUCGUAGAUCAGUUGGUAUAGAGUUGUUUUAUUAUAAUUAAAAUUUUUGGUUUAAGGUUUGAAAAUAUUGUUAUAUUAAAAUAUUUGUUGGGAGAAUUUUAUCAUUCUAGCAAUCAUAUCCGAUGUGAAUCUGAAUUAAUUGGAGCUCAAUAUAAUUUUUGAAUAACAUAUGAUUUAAUAUACAAAAAAAUGAAGGGAUUCAUCUCUCAAUUAUUAAUAAAAAUAAAAAUGCGGGAUGCGUAUUUCAGUGUAAAUAAUAACAAUAAUAAUAGGCAAAUGCUAUGUUACAUGAAAUGUAACAUAGACACUCUACAACAACCACAUAAAUUGUGUGGGUCCAUCAUUUAAUGUAACAUAGGGGCUCCCAUAAUAAUAAUACAACACAUCCCCAUCAAAAACCUAGCUGAUGCUGAUGCUGAUGCUUCUGCAGAUUCUGAUUCCCCCUCCCUUUUAGCCAAGGAAGCAGAUGAUGACAGCAUCACAGUGCAGAAAAGAAAGAAAGAAAGAAUAUCAUUAUAUUUAUACUCCCACAUCUUCUUAAACGUUGUGCCCUCUGUAUGCACAUAUGCAUGUAGAGCUGGCAAAACGGGUCAUCGGGUCGUGUCAGCUUUGUGUCGUGUCAAAUUUAGGUCGACUCAAACCCGAUCCAUUUAAUAAUCGUGUCAAAAUAUUGAGACCCAAACCCGACACGGAAAAAUAAUCGGGUUACCCAAUAGCCCGUUUAAUAUCUAUAUAUUGAACAAAAAUUACAUCAAAUAUUUACACAUUAUCAUACAUACGUAUAUACAUAAAUACAUACAUACAUACAUACAUACAUACAUAAUUUAUCGAUAUUAUAAAAUAUACAUA